UACAGAGGGUGCGAGCGUUAAUCGGAAUUACUGGGCGUAAAGCGUGCGUAGACGGUUUCGUAAGUCGGGUGUGAAAUCCCCGGGCUCAACCUGGGAAUUGCAUUCGAAACUGCGAGGCUAGGGUACGGAAGAGGGAAGCGGAAUUUCUGGUGUAGCGGUGAAAUGCGUAGAUAUCAGAAGGAACAUCAGUGGCGAAAGCGGCUUCCUGGUCCAGUACCGACGUUCAGGCACGAAAGCGUGGGGAGCAAAAGGG
rnacentral:rRNA from 1 species